UUUUGUCAGUGACACCUGUCGAAGCGUGCAGUUUACUUUCAAAGAGACAUAACGAUAUUCCAACAUGAAGGCGGUGUAUGUCUUACUUUUCCUGGUAGCUUUCUGUUCACUUGGCAGAACUGUGUAUUCUACACCGGAUAUGGACGCACUUAGAGCUGAUAUACAAAAUCAUUUCUCUGUGGUUGUGAUCAUUAUCCAAUACCAGAAUCCGGGGAUUUUAGCAGUGGAAGGUCUAAGCGACCUUCAACCUGUCGUUAUCUAUCUUUUGGAACACGGGAUUGUAGCAAGCGCUUCCGGUAACCAAAUAAUCAUCCCAGCUUAAUUGAUAUUAAGCGUCUUCCGAUGGCAUGACGAGUGGAUAUUUGAAACAUGUCAGAAUAUCGCUUGCACACGUGUAGAUGAUCAUACAGUGAAUAAAAUCCCUAAAAACUUCCAA